UUUCUUUUGUGAUAUUUCAUUACAUACGUAAAGAAGCAUUAAAUGAGAUGUAGACAUCACUUCUCUCCCUCUCGCCUCCCUAGGGUUGGAUCUACUUCUCCACAGAGAGAGCUCCUUCCCAUUCAUUUUGUUUGGUGUCCUCCCUCAAUACAAAGAAAGAAAAAGAGAGAAGCAGUCCCAUCUUCUUUCGUAUUUUUUUCUGUGCAAGCCGUGAGACUUCUCCCUGUUUUUCCCCCCUUUAAAAUUCUUCUUCUUCCAUUGUAGAGACCUUGGUGUCCUAGCAUUAGCCUUGGUUGUUCAGACGCAGGGUUUUUCUUGAAUGGUUAGUGAGAUAGAGAUUUGAGAGAGUUUUGUGAAGAGAGCUUGCCGUUCUUGAAGGGUUCUUGGAGGAUCUUGAAGCUAGGAUGGUUUGUUGGCUUGGACCUACACUCUUCACCUUUUCAUUUCUUACUCAUAUCUUGAGAUAAAGCCAAGAAACUGCUCCUCUCUCUCUCUCUAAAGAUAUAUAACCAUCUCUACAUCUCUCUCUUUUUUCCAAAGAAGCAAACAAACAAUGGAUCAUAAAGU